rnacentral:rRNA from 1 species
AACUUUCAACAAUGGAUCUCUUGGUUCCGGCAUCAAUGAAGAACGCAGCGAAAUGCGAUAACUAAUGUGAAUUGCAGAAUUCAAUGAAUCAUCGAGUCUUUGAACGCACAUUGCGCCCCCUGGUAUUCCGGGGGGCAUGCCUGUCCGAACGUCAUU